rnacentral:rRNA from 1 species
GACGAACGCUGGCGGCGUGCCUAAUACAUGCAAGUAGAACGCUGAAGGAGGAGCUUGCUCUUCUGGAUGAGUUGCGAACGGGUGAGUAACGCGUAGGUAACCUGCCUGUUAGCGGGGGAUAACUAUUGGAAACGAUAGCUAAUACCGCAUAAGAGUAGAUGUUGCAUGACAUUUGCUUAAAAGGUGCAAUUGCAUCACUACCAGAUGGACCUGCGUUGUAUUAGCUAGUUGGUGGGGUUACGGCCCACCCAGGCGAAGGUACAUAUCCGAACGGAGAGGGUGAGCGGCCACACUGAGACUGGUACAGGGACCAGACCCCUACGGGAGGGAGCAGUAGGGAAGCGGCGGAAAGGGAAGGAAGCGUGAGCGAGCAACGCCGAGUGAGUGAAGAAGGUUUUCGGAUCGUAAAGCGCAGUUGUAAGAGAAGAGCGAGUGUGAGAGUGGAAAGUUCACACUGUGACGGUAGCUUACCAGAAAGCGACGGCUAACUACGUG